UACAGAGGUCUCAAGCGUUGUUCGGAUUCAUUGGGCGUAAAGGGUGCGUAGGCGGGUCUUUAAGUCAGGGGUGAAAUCCUGGGGCUCAACUCCAGAACUGCCUUUGAUACUGAAGAUCUUGAGUUCGGGAGAGGUGAGUGGAACUGCGAGUGUAGAGGUGAAAUUCGUAGAUAUUCGCAAGAACACCAGUGGCGAAGGCGGCUCACUGGCCCGAUACUGACGCUGAGGCACGAAAGCGUGGGGAGCAAACAGG
rnacentral:rRNA from 1 species